CGCUGCUCUAGGCUGCGACGUCUCUGUGGUGGAAAGGCCCGCUUGGCCAGGCGUUGGAAUUCGCUUCUCUGGGCAGGCGCUGCGUGUCCUCGAGCGCCCCCUGGUUGCAGCUCGGCAUUUAGUUCGUAGGACUUAAGCCUGAAAGUAAGCAAGCCGCGAAACUAUGACACAGCUGGAUAUUGCUGGCUGGGGCUGAUGUAGUCCAAAAUAUCCGGAGAGCAGCUCAUUGGCAAAGGCUGGCACAGACACUCGAUGAUACUGGCGGUCGCUGUUUUAAGUGUCUCGGUUUGCGCAGCACGGUUUGCACAGCACUGAGAUUUGUAACACAAGCUUCUGUUCUGGAGGAUGGGUGGGGAAACACUAUGAGCUUCAGAUUAAUCUCCUUGUAUAAUCUCCACCAUCUCUCUGUUGAGCUUAAAUUAUUAUCCGCUACAGUACAUUAAAUAUUUUUAUCCCUUCACCAUCCCCCUAAAUUGUUGUCUCCCCCUUCCUUUUUUUUUGCUCCUUGCAUUUCCCUCUCCCUCCGUGUUAGUCACAGACACACAAAUGACUGAAAAAAGCAAAACAAAAAACGCCCGGGUAUAUUUGCAACCAUCUAUCUGCCUAAAAGCUGCAAUUUUGCCUUCACAACAGUGCUGCUGAUCGUUCUCUUUUGCAUAAUGUGUAAACUCUGGGUGCUUCGUGGCGGCUGUAUAAACUUUAAAAACAAAGGCCAUGAUCCUUGACAAAACGAAGAUGUUUUUUCACAUGCUUUUGACUCCAGUAUGCUCAGUCUUAAAACUCCCCCCAGUGGGUUAAAAAUGGGUGCUUCAUUUUGGCUGGAUCUGCCCUGUUCCCCCCCCAAAAAACGGCAGCAGAAAUGCCAUACAGCCUAUCUCAUCAUAUUUCUGAGAAUGAGGGUGGACAUGUUUGAGAGGGGGCAGUCCUCUAAUUGAAGUUCUGUCCGUCCAAGUAUCAUUUCAGGACCAUGUACCCUAAGAAGGGGUGGGGUGCUGAAGAACAUAAGAGGUGUACUGUUCUCAUGGUGCCCGGCCAGAUGCACCUGGAAAGCCUGGAUCUGCCUAACAUCACCCUCCCCAUUUGAGGUCCUUAGCAAUUGUUAUUCAGAGGCACACUGUUAUGUACUGAAGUUCUCACCCUGGGCCAGCAGGGGGAUACUGUGGAUAGUUUUCACUCAGGUCCACAUAUGCAAAUAAGGAAUUGAAAGUGACGUUCAGUGAUUGGAUAGUUACAGAAAGUUGUUACUGUUGCCUUGUAGUUGAGCUCUAUAUAAGCAGGUUGGCUGAACCCUUCAGUUCAGUUCUGUUCUGGCCUGUGAAUAAACAAGAGCUGUUUGAAGAAUCGCUGUGUCGUCUGAUAUGUUCACCCACAACUUAACACACACUGCCUCUGACCAGUGGAGGUGCAUCACAGCCAUUGUGACUAGCAUGGACAGCACCAGGACAGGGGGGGGCAGGGGGGAAGCACUCCCCAAACAACGAAGCAUGCAUCCCCAUUUGCCCCCCCCCCCAGUGUUGGACUCACCCGCCAACAUUUCUCCUAUGAAAAUAGGGACGUCCUAUUCCAUAAUAAAAUUUUUAUUAUUUCCAGCCCAUCUAUUUGACUGAGUUGGCCCGGCCACUCUGGGCGGCUUCCAACAUAUAUAAAAUACUUCCUGUUAAGUUGUGGGUGAACAUAUCAGACGACACAGAGAUUCUUCAAACAGCUCUUAUUUAUUCACAGGCCAGAAUAGAACUGAACUGAAGGGUUCAGUCAGCCUGCUUAUAUAGAGCUCCAGUACAAAGUAACUGUAACAAUUUUCUAAAACUAUCCAAUCACUGAACGUCACUUUCGAUCCCUUAUUUGCAUAACUAUCUACAGUAUCCCCCUGCUGGCCCAGGGUGAGAACUUCAGUACAUAACACUUCCCUAUACAGGGCUGCCUUCAGAUGUCUUUUAAAGGUUGUAUGGUUACUUAUCUCCUUGGCUCGGGAGUCGCAUAACUCCAUACCCUCCAACAUUUCUCUGAUGGUAGAAUAGGGACAUCCUAAGGAAAAAGCGGGACCUUCCAGGAUCAAAUCAGAAACCGGGAUGGCUUCUGUAAAUCCAGGACUGUCCCUGGAAAAUAGGGACACUUGGAGAGUCUGCUGGACUCCUGUCAUUAACAUAUACAGUUACUUCUCUUUCAGAGAUCUUAACUUGGAGAUCACAACUUGCUCUCCUGGAAAUAUACUUUGCCCCUUCUUCUGUGUUGCUGCCCCAAAAUUUGUUUCUGGUGCCUUAUCCUCCAUAACCUUUUCUCAUCUCCUUUUAAAGCCAUCCAAGGACAGUAGGAUAACUACACAAGAUGAGCCAGGUAACUUUUAUGAAUGAAUGAAUGAAUGGGAAAGGGACCGUUCAUUCAUUUUGCACGAUUUCUCAGCUGUGACUCAGUGUGGCAAAUCACAGCCUUUGUGCUUUGUGUGGGAGCCUUGCAUCUUAAUGUGGCAAUUACCUUUCCAAUUAGUGUUUUGUAGUGCAAAAGGGGGCACGGAGGUGUGCAUUCGCAAGCCUCUGUGGUGUGAUUGCAGCACAGCCAUAACAAAGAAAUCCUUCCUGCCCUGGGGAGCACCUUUCCUUAGAAAGCGGCAUAUUAGUUGUUUUGGUUAGUUAAGGCCCUGUAGGACAUUUCCUGCUUUAAGGCUGAAUGAUCACCCCAGGCCCUGCAUCUCCACUGCAUAGCAGAACACACGCCAGGGGGGAAAUAAGGAAGAAUGGCAUAUGGAUACAGAUAGUUACACAUUUCUGAGCAGUGAGAGACUCCAGGAGUUCAAAGAACUCUUUUGGGGUUCGGUUCCUUGGAGUGAAGGUCAGCGGAGACUGUGAUGUAUUUAGGAUAUAGGCAACUCCCCAUUUAAGCACAUUCAAGGCACAUGUUUUUUUUUCUGUUUCCUGGAUGUUGUCACCAGCUCUGCUCCUGGAUUUGAUUUCGGUUCAGAAGAGUCCUUCGGUUGAGAUACUGCUCCAUAUCAACAGAAUGGCUGCCAGAACCACCACUGUCAUCAGCUGAAGAUUUAAGAACUGUAACUUUAGGGACUUGUAUUUGAGUUUGCUUUCCCCUCCUC